ensembl:lncRNA
CCUCUGUGGCAUUUCUGCCCCCAGCUCACAUGGACACUUGUGGGAGCUGAGCGCCUGCUGCUCUGCAGGCCUGGUGUGCUGAAAGAGAAGAGCUAUCAGCGAGCUUUCUCCUGAUGCCAUCUGCUGGCUGAACUGACACGAUCUGGCUGGGCUGACCUAAGGAGAGAACCUGUACCAAAGAGGAAACACAGUGCUUAACCUGCUGUUACUCAUUAGAAUAGUUUAAUAUUGAAGCUCAAGUUGUUAUUUUCAAGGGACAGAAAAGGGGAAAAGGAAAGGGAGAAGAGAGAAGUGACAAAGCAUGAUGACCGAAGACAACAGGAUUUCAUAGACUCAGAAACACUUGGCUACACGGGUCUGUGACACAGCCACCGAAUGUCCCGCAGAGCCCAGAGGACGCCAGGCCGUGCUGUGCCAGGAGGCUGGGG